UACGGAGGUGGCAAGCGUUAUCCGGAAUCAUUGGGCGUAAAGGGUGCGUAGGCGGCUUCUUAAGUUUGCAGUGAAAGCGUAGAGCUCAACUCUAUUAAGCUGCAAAAACUGGGAGGCUAGAGUGCGGUAGAGGCAAGUGGAAUUCCAUGUGUAGCGGUAAAAUGCGUAGAUAUAUGGAGGAACACCGGUGGCGAAGGCGGCUUGCUGGGCCAUAACUGACGCUGAGGCACGAAAGCGUGGGGAGCAAAUA
rnacentral:rRNA from 1 species